AAGACACUAGUAAAACGGACAUUACAUUGCCUUGUCAAGGCAACAUUGUGGGUUGAAUCCCCACGUAUCUUA
rnacentral:tRNA from 1 species